rnacentral:sRNA from 1 species
GAACGUUGAAGUGUGCCGGCGACCCGCAC